rnacentral:rRNA from 1 species
AGUGAACGCUGGCGGCAGGCCUAAUACAUGCAAGUCGAACGGCAGCACAGCAGAGCUUGCUCUGUGGGUGGCGAGUGGCGGACGGGUGAGGAAUACGUGGGAAUCUGCCCAGUCGUGGGGGAUAACGUAGGGAAACUUACGCUAAUACCGCAUGCGCCCUUCGGGGGAAAGCCGGGGACCUUCGGGCCUGGCGCGAUUGGAUGAGCCCACGUCGGAUUAGCUAGUUGGCGGGUAAAGGCCCACCAAGGCGACGAUCCGUAGCUGGUCUGAGAGGAUGAUCAGCCACACUGGAACUGAGACACGGUCCAGACUCCUACGGGAGGCAGCAGUAGGGAAUAUUGGACAAUGGGCGCAAGCCUGAUCCAGCCAUGCCGCGUGAGUGAAGAAGGCCCUCGGGUUGUAAAGCUCUUUUGUCCGGAAAGAAAGCGCCGGGUUAAUACCCUGGUGUCCUGACGGUACCGGAAGAAUAAGCACCGGCUAACUUCGUGCCAGCAGCCGCGGUAAU